UUGGCAAUUGUACACCAAUCACAAGCUGCAGGCUUCCUAAGAAAAGGCCCCUGCGCAGGCGAACAAUGUCUCGGCGCUGACAUCUCCGCUGAGAGAUCUGCCAGCGGAGGAUCAAAGACGAACGUUCACCACUUGUCAUAUGGAAGGCCUUAAAAUUGUAUUCCGGUUUGGUACUGCAUCAUAUCAACUACUUCAUUUGUUGCUUGCCAAACUCUCGUUGAAUCUUCUAUGUGCUGUGCUGCAGUCCAACAUAUCUCAUUGCUAUAAAGCUCCUAAACCCACUCAGUAAAAGAAGUUCGCCAUGUCUUGCUCCUUUAAUGCAAUAUUUAGCACAACUAUUCCAAAGAUGUGAACAUCAGAC
rnacentral:lncRNA from 1 species